ensembl:lncRNA
UCUUGUUCGUUUCAUUUGGAAUUCAUUGUGGUGGUGUAUAGACCCAAAAAUGUUAGAAUUGUGUCGAUGUCCCAAUAUUUAUGGACCUGACUGUAGAUCAGGGGUAGGCAACUUCAGGCCUCGAUUGCCGGCGAUCUGCAGGUUUUAAGAUCUCACCCUGGGUCAACAUAUCUGAAUCAAAUGAUUAGUUCAUUACCAGGCCUCUGGACAACUUCAAGACAUUUUGAGGAGGUAAUUAGGUCAUUUGAAUCAGCUGUGUUGGAUCAAGGAAACAUCUAAAACCUGCAGGACACUGGCACUUGAGGCCUGGAGUUGCCUACCCCCGAUUUAGAUAAUAUUUCAGGCUCUCUAAACCUACAGUUAGUGGAGCUUUGUAGCCAGAUCUCUAAGAAACAAUUGUACCUUUCUUAGCAAUGAUGCAUGCUUAAAUCAUAGAAGCUUUGUAAUGCUGUGCAACAGAUUAAUGGGACAGUAGUGCAGAGGAUUCAGAGCUUGUCUUAGAGUCCUUGGGUAUAAAAUAUUUCUUCAUCAAUAUUUCUUCUCAAGAAAUCCAGUGACACAGCAAACGAUAACUCUUGAUUGUUCCAAACUUUAUUUUUCAAGUUGUAAACAAAUACAGUUUUAAAAAAGUGUUCUUCUUUGUCACUAUCACAUUCUUCUUUCAAUACCAAAAAAUGAAAAAGGAGUCAAUGAUUAAAUGAAUUUAAAAAAAUAUGAUUAUUAUAACUCUAUCAUCCAAUUUGAAUAAUAUUAUAAUUCUUUUCUGUUUUUCUUUUUUGUUUGUUUGUUUUUUUUUCCUCUGGUAAACUAAUCGUUCCCUUUCAGUCGAUUCACUCGGUACAACACAUAAGUAUGGGAUAUUAUGUCCUCCCGUGUCCUGGCUGAAGAAACCUUUAAUCACGCCUUUAAGGCAGAUGACCUGUGAUAACAUGCACACAUCCCCGCCUGCAGAUAUAACCGCUGUCAUCACAGACAUCCCUCAGUUCUUACGCUCGUCCCCUCGCUGAGAACACCUCUACUGAGUUGGACUAGCUAGCUGCUGCUAGUUAGCUCCUUUGUCUGCCGACUUGAACUUAGCCCUGUUGGUGUUAGCCUCCAACGCGCAGUUGGUACGUGAGCAAAGCAGAAAUCUUCUGUUCGCCCCUGUCCUCAGGGGUGUGGUUUCUCUUUCCAUGACAGUGACCAGCACGAUGACUGCCCUGUCUGCCUGGGGAUCAUCCACCCUAGGAGAGUAUUGACGGAGCCUGAAGCCUGUGCAUUUUGUCGCCAGCUCUGGUGCUCGUCCCUGGAAAGAUGGGUGACUUUUAUGGAAAAAGUGCUGGGACAGACGGCUGUCACAUGGCAUGACCCUCUCCUUUCCGAGUCUGGAAGCCCCGGCUCCGAAUCCGAAGACAAGGAUUAUCCGGUCGACGUCCCCCGCAAUUCGCUGGGCUGACUACAUGAAAUGUGUUGAUGGGUUAGCCAAAGACAAGCCGGAACCAUGCCUGGGUUGAAGCCCACCAGCACUCCCCAGGAAGACGAUGUCGUGCUGGACAUUGGCAUGGACAUCCAUGGUUUGGCAGAGGAUGAGCAGCAGAGCUCAGUGUCAGCCCAGUGUGCCGCCGCUGUUGCGCUGGUUGCCCAUGAUGACAUCUCUUUUUUCCCCCCUGUUUCGUCGUGCUUCUGAGAAGGUGCAGGCGGACUGGCCCUCUCCUCCGCCCGCUCAGAAGCUGUUGUGGUUCAUGGGCUUUUUUCUCCCCCUAGAUCCCACAACGACCAAAAACCGCCUUUCCAUGUUCCCAGGCCUUAUCUGUGAGCUAACAGCAUUAGAGAUGGACCGAUCCGAUAUUACGUAUCGGUAUCGGGUCACGUGCGUCACUGCGUCACGUGAUAGAGCGGCUGUGUGUAUUUGGAGCCUCGCUACCAAACCAGCAUUUCAUCUCCGAGGAAGUUCUCCCAGAGAGAAGUAAAGCAAGUGUGGCUCACUAUCCAGGUACCACCACAAUAACAGAGGCCCUGAAGACACAGAAGAAGCUGUGGUCGUCAGAGGACUACAGCACCUUUAACAAUGAGGUGGGAGGAGGCUGUUGGGCUCGGAUCCUCAACCAGAACUAUGUCAAUGGACAAAUGACUGCCACCAUCUCCUGGAAUCUGGUGGCCAGUUAUUAUGAGGAUCUCCCAUUCGGCAGGGACGGGCUCAUGACAGCUGAGGAGCCCUGGAGUGGCAACUAUGUGGUCGAGUCUCCAAUUUGGAUCACGGCUCACACCACACAGUUUACCCAGCCAGGAUGGACCUACCUGCAGACUGUUGGACAUCUGGCACAAGGUGGAAGCUAUAUUGCCUUGACUGAUGGGAAGGAAAUCUCACUGUUGUCAUAGAAACGAUGGUAAGUUAGUUGCGCGUGCACAGAGAGAGAGAGAGAGAGAGCGAGAAAGAGAGCAGGUAUCGAAAUAAUAAUAUCAGAAUAGACCCACCCAGGUUGGAGACAGAAACACUGGAAGAACAUAUGGGAGAAGGACGCAACAGAUAACUACAAUGCUCAGUGGCUAGUGGAUCUAAGAGCUGACUUCAUGAGCCUCCCUGAACAGGAUCCAAUAAGGAUCCCCAGAAGGGACUAGUCCCAUCCAACUACUGGGCAAUAACAGGCCUCAACAACACAUGGAAGCUCUUGUCAGGCAUCAUAGCGGCUAAGAUGAACAGGCACAUGGCUGAAUACAGGAGUAGGGAACCAAAAGGAAUUGACAUAAACAUCAGAGGGGCAAAACACCAGUUCCUGGUAGAUGGAGCAGUCUGUAGACUGUAAGACCAGAGUGACCAACUUGUGCACCACCUGGGUUGACUAUAAGAAAGCCUACCACUCAAUGCCUCACACAUGGAUCCUGGAGUCGCUAGAACUGUACAACAUGACUGACAACAGGACCCUAAGAGCUUUCAUCAAGAACUGAAUGGAAAUGUACUAUUGGCUUAAUGUUGGCCUCUACUUUUGUUCAUUACAAGUCAUGCCAAAUACAAGCAGAGAGUCUUAUCGUCUUAUCACUAUGUGGAACAGAGCUUUCAGUCUCUCGGUUCCUCGGCUCUGGAACUCACUUCCUGCAGUGAUAAGAAAUAUAGAUCCCCUUCCCUUAUUUAAGUCACAGCUCAAAACCUGUUUGUUUAAACUGGUUUACUGGCUUUGUUACAGAUCUUAUUUGCUGUCAAAUCUUGUUUAUUUGUUGUUUUUUUAUUUGUUGGGGUUUUUUUUGUAUUUUCAUUUAUUUUAAUCUAUUUUAAUCUACUGUUUUAUUGAUAUCUUUUUCUCUUUGUAAGGUGACCUUGGGUUUUAGAAAGACGCCCUCAAAUAAAAUGUAUUAUUGUUAGUAGUAGUAGUAGUAGUAGUAGUAGUAGUAGUAGUAGUAGUAGUAGUAGUAGUAUCAUCAUUAGAUGGUGAGUGUCAGAACCACUAUGAUGACACUCAUAACAACAAGAAACGACAAGAUCAUCCAUGAGUACAUCAGGAAGAUAGCCACAGCUGACUGUGUGCUUAGUGAAGACCUCAAACAGCAGAAACCUGUGAGAAGAGUAUCAAGAAGAGGAACCAUAAUGGAAGGACAGGCCCCUGCACAGCAUGUACUACCUGCAGACGAAAAGAAGCAGCCGACACAGAGGAAUCCUACCAGUGGCUAGAGAAUGCUGGACUGGCACUAAUCAUGGCGGCACAGGAACAAGCUCUAAACACAACAUCCAUAGAGGCAGGGGUCUACCACACCAGGCAAGACCCCUGGUGCAAGCUGUGCAAAGGUGCCCCUGAGACAAUCCAGCACUACACAAAACACUAAACGGUCAAGACCAUUUAUCCCCGCUUCUUAUUAAAUAUGCAGCUUGUUGACUUCAAAAAUAAGCUUAGAAUUUGUUAAAGACUAGGGAGGACAUUAAAACCAUUUUAGCUGACUCUGUAGAUACUUGUAGACAGUGUUUGUUUGUGUAUGUGUAGCUCAAAUAUAUAUAUAUAUAAAUGUAUAGCUCAAACACAGGAACAUUAUCUGCCACAUCCAACUCUGCUUUCUAAUGUUAUGGAAUGCUCCUUUUAACAAAGCUUUUUGUCUCCUUUAUAGACUCACAAUCAUUCAGUGUGCAUAAGACCUCCACUACCUCCCUUUAAUGUAACAUCCCAAAAUGCAACUUUCCAGCUAAAGGGGUCUUUUGUAAGUUCAUGUCAUCUUCUUGAAUCUGCUGAGAAUUUAUGACUUGUACAUCUGUCAUGUUUAAGAUUAUUUAUUUCUUCUUAGGCAUCCAUUAAAGAGCUCCAAGUGUGGCGGUCACAGUUUGACUUUAAGACGAGCAAGGCUUCCUUUUUGAGAAACUAAAACCACU